AAAGAUUAAAAAAAAAUCGAGAUCGAUUCAUGUAAAAAAGAAGAAAAUUAACCAAAGUAGUUUGUAGCAGAACUCUGUGAUUGAAGUCUUCAAAAAAUUUAAACUGUAACAAAAAAAAAGAAAUUCAUUAAAAAAUAAUAUUAAUUUGAAUUAAAAAAGUGAAGAAUUAAACAGUUGAUAACGCUUAUAAUCGUAGGCACUAGAGCUAAUAAAAAUAAAUUUAGAACUUAUAGUUCGAAGAUUGCGCUGUGUAGUUAGCGGACAAUCUUAGAGACCUGAACCAUAUCACCUGAAACGAGGAUUGGUCUUUUUUGUCAUCGUAAAAUUUAAGAAUAUGGAUUUUUGGAAAAGGCAAAGAAAAAGGAAACGAUUAAAUAUGCGUAAAUAACUUUAAAAUGUAAUCUUUAAACGAUGAUGCUAUUAUUGAGCGUGGAUAAAUUUUAGUUUAAGCGGUCAGUCUCUGACAAUAAGAAGGACGUAGUCGCCAACGUUAAAUUAUAAGCAACUAGCGUUACGUUUUGUUAUAAUAAAAUAAAGAUGUAGGCGGUAAUUUAAAUGAGUAACGAGGAAAAAUAAGAGUUUUAUCUGGAGUGUUUGUGAUUGUUGAUGAAUAGCUAAUAAUAAAUUAUUUUAAAAGUUA